CAUGAAUGAUUCCCAUAUAUCCCAAGUAUAUGGGCAGUUGAAGAAGAGGUGAUCACGUGACUCUGAGGCGGCAUUACACAGGAUACAAGACCGAUCAACAUCCAGACUGUUGGGGAUUGAUUUACAUCCUCCUCAAGGCCCAUUAGACAUUGAACUAGACUCAUAUUACUAGGAAGCCCUAGGGAAGCCCUAGGCUUCAUCUUUCUAUAAAUAAGGAGUUACUUCCUUAUGAGAAAAGAUCUCUCUCCUCCCAUUUGACAUAUUAAACACUUCAUACAAAGAGUUUAUUGAUUCUUAGAUUUAUUUACACUUGUAAUCAUACAUGUAAUAUAAUUUUUAAUCAAUAAAUUCUUUUUGAUGUUCUUUUUCCAUUUGAUUUCUAUGUUGAUUUCUCUUUAGCCUCAAGAAUCUAAGAAAUCUAUUUCUUAAAUUCUUCAUUGUAUGAAUCCGACAAACACACCAUUUUCGGUUCAAACAGUUGGCGCUAGAAGGAGGGGGCCAAAGAGAACAAUCUUGAUAGCAUAUCAAACUUGGAAAAACCCGAGAUCUAGGAUAAAAAAAAAAAAAAAAAAAAAAAAAAAAAAAAAAAAGAAAAAGAGAGAAUGAACCAACGAUGUCGUCUUGUUUCUUACCGUGGAUACUCGUCAGUUCCGGUUUGUUCAUCACAAGAUAGGAGAAGCUGUUCGAGACUCACGUUCCGGUUUGUUCAUCACAAGAUAGGAGAAGCUGUUCGAGGCUCACGUUCUCGGCUUUGAUAACGCGACAGUCCUCGACAUAACUUGAUAUCGGCGUUCUUGGGUUGAUCUCGGCAGUUUGGGCAUAUCAUCCUCAGAAGAUUCGAUCCCGGCAGAAGCAGUUCAUCGAGCACUAGGUGAAGCUAAAGGAUGAAGCUUUCUCAUGAAAGCUUUGCUUUCUUCGGGUGGGACUUUCAUCGAGCACUUGGUGGGCUGAUAAUAACAUGAAGCAACAAUGGCAGUUCAUGUUCGUAAUCCCAGAGAACGACAUCAGACACACGAUCGCAAACGUCGCCGCCGUGAAGACGAGCCAUCCUCGCAGCUUCCGCCAUCUCCUUCAUUCUCUUCCCCGGCGUAUCCUCACCGUCCGUCAGAGAUCUUACGGCUCCCGCGAUCUCCUCAGCUUUCACUACCUCUCCGUUCGCAGCGACGUAAUUCAUACGCAGCUCCAGCUCCAGACAAGCAAAUAGCAAACAGAAACUUAUCUGGCUCGGCUUCCACUGAAUCAUCUUCCUCCUCAUCAACUUCUGAUCGGAUGAGCAACCACUUGAUCUGCCUUGAGAAACACAUGUUCUUCACUGCGUUGUUGGAUCGAGUUCUUGUCUGGUCAGAUGAGCAACUGCUUCGCUCAUACCUUUGGUCUCCAAGCUGUUGUUCAGACACGAGACACGGCAAAGACUUGAUCCUUCAAGCCCCAUCAAGGACAGCUUAUUGACGACUUGAGCUCUGUUUUUCAAAGCUUUAUUCUUACUAAAUUGAGCUCCAAAGUCAACAGCUUCUUCUCGCCAUGACUCGCUUUGCGAGAGUGAAGACUGCAACACCUUACAAGGCGUGCUCCAGCUUAAUACUGCCAUGUUAUGUUUCCACUCGGCUUCACAAGAUUGUUCACCGUGCAAAACGCAUUCCAACCUGUCGUUAAGCUUGGCUUCUCGAACAGCAAAGAAUCUGACGAAAUGACAUCAGUCAUCACACCUCCAUUAAAAGCUCUUGCUUCUCUUUGCCGACUUGUUCUGUGGAACACAGAGCUUACCACCAUCUCAGCUCAGACAAGAACGAUCCAUUGAGGCAGAGCUCACCACCAUCUCAGCUCAGACAAGAGCGAUACAUUGAGAUAAGUUUUCCCAAUAUUAACUAAUUAUUAUCAUUAGACCACCUUCUUUAAAACGUCAAAAUGCACGUCUAUUGAUAGUUUGGCAGCUAAUUGCUUUAUUAAAAUUAUUGGGAAAGUUAAUGGAUUAUGGUAGUCAUACGUAAACCCUUGUCCCUUGCUAGGAAAAAUUAAUAUGCUAGCAGCAAGGAAAAACUAAUAUGCUAGCCCGAGUAUCAAGUCAUAAAGCAUAUCAACUCUUACAUUUUUUUUUUGUGAGUUGCAAGGUCUAAUUAUUAAUGGGGUUUAAAUUUUAUUUGUGAAGAUUAUCUCUUUGGUGACUCGAUCUCGGCGACCAUGAUUCAGUCUUGAUACAUUCAGUUUGAUUCCGGCGAGAGCGGAGAUGAUGAGCCAACCACCUCAUCCCCUCAUCACCUCGUCAUUUGUUUCACAGGGUCGACGGCGUCUCGUUCUUGUGAAUGAUGCACUCAUCAAACAUUGUGCUUCUUUAUGCUCCAUCAACACCGAUGAGCCCGAGCCCGACCUCACAAAUGAACGUCAUCGCAGCCUGACGAACAUACAAGCCAACAACUUGCUCGGCACACACGAUCUCAACACGAGACUUCGGGUCGGCAAUAGUUCGACCCCAUGCUGCCAUCCUGUCUUUGGUAGGGCAUCGAUCAAGCACAAACAGCCAAGUUAGGAACUGAUGUUUUGGGAUUCCACCAGUGAACCAGACCUCCUAAUGCCACGCCACCUCCGGCUCAGCCGUUCUUAAGAGGUCGUAGAUCAUUCUUGUUGAAUAGGAAUCUGCUUUAUUACCUCCAGGCAUCCAAAGGAGGCAAUACCCAAGUGUCAGAUUCCCAUAGCUCUGCUAAGGUUGCCAUUGAAGAAAUAUCGACAUGGCUAGCGCUUUCACCUUGCAGAAAUUGUUGAUAUCACCUUCAAGAAUCUCUUCAAUAAACCAAGUAGCCCAGAUGGAAUCAGACUUGAAGAAUAGCAGCCAUAUAAGCUUCAGCGCACAAGCCUUGUUCCAAGCAAUCCAGUUUUUUUAACCCUAGGCCUCCUUCACGUUUCGGCUGAGAGCAUUUCUCCCAAGCUACCUUCGCAGCUCCAUUCCCGUCCAGUUUGCCUUUCCCAAGGAACUUUGGACACAUCGAGUCGAUUUCAGAUAGACAAGCUUUGGGUAGUAUGUACGCAUAGGUCCAGAAAUUGAUGAGUCCCGAGAUACCCGUGGAUAUAGGUUGAAGCCUUCCUGCGAAGGAUAGUAGACGGACAGUCCAAGACAUGAACUUUGAUUUGAUGGCCUGAAUCAAGGGAGCGCAGUGGUUCAUGGAGAGCCUUGACAGAUAGGCAAGCCAAUUUUUCCGUCCGAUUUAACGUCAAGUACUAAUGUAAACAUUUGUCCCCCGAAAAGACAAAACUAAUGUAAACAUUUCUGUUAACAAUUUGAUAUAUAUAUUACUAAGAAGUUUUGCAGUCAUA